UACGUAGGGGGCUAGCGUUGUCCGGAAUCAUUGGGCGUAACGCGCGUGUAGGCGGCCCGGUAAGUCCGCUGUGAAAGUCGGGGGCUCAACCCUCGAAUGCCGGUGGAUACUGUCGGGCUAGAGUACGGAAGAGGCGAGUGGAAUUCCUGGUGUAGCGGUGAAAUGCGCAGAUAUCAGGAGGAACACCAAUUGCGAAGGCAGCUCGCUGGGACGUCACUGACGCUGAGACGCGAAAGCGUGGGGAGCAAACAGG
rnacentral:rRNA from 1 species